rnacentral:rRNA from 1 species
UACGUAGGGUGCAAGCGUUGUCCGGAAUUAUUGGGCGUAAAGAGCUCGUAGGCGGCUUGUCACGUCGGGUGUGAAAGACCGGGGCUUAACCCCGGUUCCGCAUUCGAUACGGGCUGGCUAGAGUGUGGUAGGGGAGAUCGGAAUUCCUGGUGUAGCGGUGAAAUGCGCAGAUAUCGGGAGGAACACCAGUGGCGAAGGCGGGCACCUGGCCAACACUGACGCUGAUGCGCGAAAGCUAGGGGAGCAAACAGG